UACAGAGGGGGCAAGCGGUUAUUCGGAAUUAUUGGGCGUAAAGGGCGCGUAGGCGGCUUGGCAAGUGGAAGGUGAAAUCCCUCGGCUUAACCGAGGAACUGCCCUCCAAACUGCUUGGCUUGAGACCGGGAGAGGUGAGUGGAAUUCCCAGUGUAGCGGUGAAAUGCGUAGAUAUUGGGAGGAACACCAGUGGCGAAGGCGGCUCACUGGACCGGUACUGACGCUGAUGCGCGAAAGCGUGGGGAGCAAACGGGG
rnacentral:rRNA from 1 species